rnacentral:rRNA from 1 species
GACAGAGGAUGCAAGCGUUAUCCGGAAUCAUUGGGCGUAAAGCGCGUGUAGGCGGUCCGGUAAGUCCGCUGUGAAAGUCGGGGGCUCAACCCUCGAAUGCCGGUGGAUACUGUCGGGCUAGAGUGCGGAAGAGGCGAGUGGAAUUCCUGGUGUAGCGGUGAAAUGCGCAGAUAUCAGGAGGAACACCAAUUGCGAAGGCAGCUCGCUGGGACGUUACUGACGCUGAGACGCGAAAGCGUGGGGAGCAAACAGG